UACGGAGGGUGCAAGCGUUAUCCGGAUUCACUGGGUUUAAAGGGUGCGUAGGAGAGCAGGUAAGUCAGUGGUGAAAUCCCCGAGCUUAACUUGGGAACUGCCGUUGAUACUAUCUGUCUUGAAUAUUGUGGAGGUGAGCGGAAUAUGUCAUGUAGCGGUGAAAUGCUUAGAUAUGACAUAGAACACCAAUUGCGAAGGCAGCUCGCUACACAUAUAUUGACUCUGAGGCACGAAAGCGUGGGGAUCAAACAGG
rnacentral:rRNA from 1 species